rnacentral:lncRNA from 1 species
CACCGCGUCCCUUCUCGCGAGACUAGGAGCCCGCCAAAACGCCUCGUGGCGGCUGGCUGCGCCGCUAUUGCCGCGUGGAGCGGCCAGUGCGGGGUGAGGCGUCCUGCUAACGCCGCGAGGAAAGAAGGGUGUGGGAUCCCCGUGUAUCUCUGGAAGGACAGAAAAUUAAACAAAAGAACAGAAUACACUCUGGAUUUUCUUCCUAUGUACAGUCUACACUGAUUGAAGUGCUGAAUCCACUCAUAGGACCAGCUUACUGUAAAUACUCCAUUUCAAUAGACUGCCAAAAGAACUGCAAAAUACUUCAAAGCCUGCUGAAGCAAGAAUCAAGUUUGGUUAUUUUCUGUUCCAUAAUGUUAUCUCUUGUGGACAGCUCAACCUAUAAGAAGUGAAUUUGU